AUUGAACGCUGGCGGCAGGCCUAACACAUGCAAGUCGAGCGGAUGAAGGGAGCUUGCUCCUGGAUUCAGCGUCGGACGGGUGAGUAAUGCCUAGGAAUCUGCCUGGUAGUGGUUGAUAACGUCCUGAAACGGGCGCUAAUACCGCAUACGUCCUGAUGGUGAAAGUGGGGGAUCUUCGGACCUCACGCUAUCAUAUGAGCCUAGGUCGGAUUAGCUAGUUGGUGGGGUAAAGGCCUACCAAGGCGACGAUCCGUAACUGGUCUGAGAGGAUGGUCAGUCACACUGGAACGGAAACAGGGUCAAGAGUACUACGGGAGGCAGCAGUGGGGAAUAUUGGACAAUGGGGGAAAACAUGAUACAACCAUGCGGCGUGUGAGAAGAAGGUGUUGGGAUUGUAAAGAACUUUAAGUUGGGAGGAAGGGCAGUAAGUUAAUACCUUGCUGUAUUGACGUUAACAACAGAAUAAGCACCGGCUAACUACGUG
rnacentral:rRNA from 1 species